rnacentral:lncRNA from 1 species
GGGACAACGGCAUCACUAUGGGCACACAAAUUAUCCUCGCCAAGCUCGAUGAUCUCAUGUCUAUCACAUUCUAACUUGACCAAUCUGGUGCAGAGUGGAAGGGACUACUUUGGCGGAAUGAUUCCAAGGUCAACCUUAUAGCAUAUUGUAGGAUACAGCUACGUACAACACUUGGAAUUCCAUGGUGAGUUCAACCGAUCCUAUUAUCAACUCAAGCACUAUAUCACCAACUGAAUCUUUCUCUCCACCGUCGAAUCCCCAAACACAGAAGUUUUUCUUGUGAAUUCUCUUAUAAUCCAUUUUCAACUUAUUUAGAGUAGAGAGAGGGAAAAUAUUUGCAUUGGAACCAUUGUCGACCAAUACCUCGGUAACCACUAAAUCUUCA